GAACUAACGGUUGAGAUUUUAGAUGCUGCGGAUAUGCGCAUCUAGACGUACUUUAUUAGACCUUUUCUAUUUUCCUCCAAUUCAUACCUUUUGCGAGAGAGAAGAGGAUGUAUGCGCCAGAGGCCCAGCAGAUGAGCGCCAGCGACCACAUACAAAAGAGGAGCGAGGACAGGGGCUGCUUGUACGCAUGCCUCUUCGCGGCGUGCUGCUGUUUCAUGUGUUAUGAGACUUGCGAGUGCUGCCUUGACAUCCUCUGCUGCUGCUGCUGAGAGGAAAUGCAAUGGAUUCAAGGAGACAAAAAUAAAUAAAUAAAAUGUGAUGUGCCUGCAUAAGAAAAAACCGGUUGUUUCUUCGUCAAAGCCGCGUCUUUUAUUAUCUUCUAUUAAUAAAAUAAAGGAAAUCGUGUAUGACUUAAAAAUA